AUUUGUUGUUCAAAAAUAUUUCAGCUAUAUUUGUUGAAUUUUUAAUGAAUUCUGUUUAUGAAAGGGAAUUGAAAGAUAUAUAUAUAUAUUGAUUUAUAAAUUUAUGUUUGGAAAUUUUUGAAGUUUAUAUUGUUAUUUCAUAUUUUUACAACUGUAUUUAUUUGUUACAUUGUUUUGUGAAACUGCAGUUUCAUUUUGAGUAGUUAAGCCACAUUUUAUGGUAUUGUUUUUAUUCCUUUGGAAAUAUUUAGAUAAAUUUAUGGUUAAAAAUGGUGUCAUGGGAAAGUAUAUCCUCUAUAUUUCAAAAAUAAUAUUGAAAACACGUCUGAAUUCUGGCCUACCAUAUAAACAUACACACUAAAAAUUCUUUUUCUUUAUUAAUGGUACCAGGUUAUCACAGAAAAGAUCAUUUAUCAUUAUUUUUCAUACCUGCAUACAAAGCAUGUAACCAGUUAAAGCAAACAAUCUGCAAAAACAACACACAAGUGCUUUUCUAUAAAAAAAUAAUGAGAAACACUUGUAUGUAAUAAAUAUUAGCAUUCUUAAAAUAGUAUAUCCAGUUUGCAGAUUUUUUAAAGAGGGUAUUCAAAAUAUUUUAAA
rnacentral:lncRNA from 1 species